AACGAACGCUGGCGGCAUGCCUAACACAUGCAAGUCGAACGAGACAUUCGGGUCUAGUGGCGCAUGGAUGCGUAAAGCGUGGGAAAAUGCCUAUAGGUUUGGAAUAACUUGCGGGAAAGGGUGCUAAUACCGGAUAAAGUCCUCGGAACAAAGAUUUAUAGACUUUGGAUGGGCUUGCGUUGGAUCAGCAAGUUGGUAGGGUAAAUGCCUACAAAGGCGACGAUCCAUAGAUGGUCUGUGAGGAUGAUCAGCGACACUGGGAGUAAGACACGGCCCAGACUCUUGCGGGAGGCAGCAGUGGGUAAUAUUGGACAGUGGGCGAUAGCCUGAUCCAGCAAUGCCGCGUGAGUGAUUAAGGCCUUAGGGUUGUAAAGCUCUUUUACCCGGUAUUAUAAUGACAUUACCGGGAGAAUAAGCUCCGGCUAACUCCGUG
rnacentral:rRNA from 1 species